AGUGAACGCUGGCGGUAGGCCUAACACAUGCAAGUCGAACGGCAGCACAGUAAGAGCUUGCUCUUACGGGUGGCGAGUGGCGGACGGGUGAGGAAUACAUCGGAAUCUACUUUUUCGUGGGGGAUAACGUAGGGAAACUUACGCUAAUACCGCAUACGACCUACGGGUGAAAGCAGGGGAUCUUCGGACCUUGCGCGAUUGAAUGAGCCGAUGUCGGAUUAGCUAGUUGGCGGGGUAAAGGCCCACCAAGGCGACGAUCCGUAGCUGGUCUGAGAGGAUGAUCAGCCACACUGGAAAUGAGACACGGUCCAGACUCCUACGGGAGGCAGCAGUGGGGAAUAUUGGACAAUGGGCGCAAUCCUGAUCCAGCCAUACCGCGUGGGUGAAGAAGGCCUUCGAGUUGUAAAGCCCUUUUGUUGGGAAAGAAAAGCAGCAGGUUAAUACCCCGCUGUUCUGACGGUACCCAAAGAAUAAGCACCGGCUAACUUCGUG
rnacentral:rRNA from 1 species